rnacentral:rRNA from 1 species
ACCCCCAGAACAUUGCCAACCAUUGAAUGGCAGAACUAAGACCACCACAUGCCUGUGCGAAACAGGAUGUUCUAAUGUCCAACAGCUAGCCCGUCCCCCAAAAACCAACUCUCCCCCCUUAACUACCCCCAAACGUACCCGCCAUCGUAAAACAAAUCAUUUUUCCUUCUCAGUAUAGGAGAUAGAAAAGAAAAUAGGAGCAAUAACUAAAGUACCGCAAGGGAAAGCUGAAAGAAAAAUGAAACAGCCUAACAAACUACUAACAGCAGAGCUUCUCCCUCGUACCUUUUGCAUCAUGAAUUAGCUAGUAACACUUAAGCAAAAUCUAUUUUAGUUUAAAUCCCCGAAACUAAGUGAGCUACUUCAAGACAGCCUAUAAAUCUAGGGCCAACCCGUCUCUGUGGCAAAAGAGUGGGAAGAGCUUCGAGUAGCGGUGACAGACCUACCGAACUUAGUUAUAGCUGGUUGCCGGAGAAGUGGAUAGAAGUUCAGCCUUUUGGAUUCUCCUUUCAACUAGACCCUAAUCUUCUCCCUGUUACAAAAGAAACCAAAAGAGUUAGUCAAGGGGGGUACAGCCCCUUUGAACCAAGACACAACUUUAAAAUGAAGGAUAAAGAUCAUAAUCAUUAAGGCCCGAGAGUUGAGGUAGGCUUGAAAGCAGCCACCCCCUAGAAAAGCGUUAUAGCUUAGGCACUGCGCCCUCACACCCUAAAAUUCCGAUAACCCAAUCUUAAUCCCCUUAUUCUAUCCGGCCGCUUCAUGCACUCAUGGAAGCGAUCCUGCUAAUAUCAGUAAUAAGAGGGCCUAGAACCUCUCCCAGCACAUGUGUACCUCGGCUCGAACCCCCACCGAUAUUUAACGACCCCAAAGAAAGAGGGAACUAGACAGUCUAUAAAAACCCAGAAAACUCUCCAACAGAAAACCGUUAACCCCACACUGGUGUGCUAAAAAGGAAAGACUAAAAGGAAGAGAAGGAACUCGGCAAACACCCUAUUGGCCUCGCCUGUUUACCAAAAACAUCGCCUCUUGCAAACUUGAACGAAUAAGAGGUCCCGCCUGCCCAGUGACAAUACGUUCAACGGCCGCGGUAUUAUGACCGUGCAAAGGUAGCGCAAUCACUUGUCUUUUAAAUGGGGACCCGUAUGAAUGGCAUAACGAGGGCUAAACUGUCUCCUCUUCCCAGUCAAUGAAAUUGAUCCCCCCGUGCAGAAGCGGGGAUACCCACAUAAGACGAGAAGACCCUAUGGAGCUUUAGACACAAAGACAGACUAUGUUAAGCACCUUCGAACAAGAAAGAAAACUAAAUAUCCCCUGCUCUUAUGUCUUUGGUUGGGGCGACCUCGGGGAAACAACAAACCCCCAAGCGGAACAGAGGCACUGUCCUCCCAAACUGAGAGCUCCUGCUCUAGGAAAUAAAACUUUUAACCUUACAGACCCGGCAAAGCCGAUCAACGAACCGAGUUACCCUAGGGAUAACAGCGCAAUCCCCUUCCAGAGCCCCUAUCGCCAAGGGGGUUUACGACCUCGAUGUUGGAUCAGGAUAUCCUAAUGGCGCAGCCGUUAUUAAGGGUUCGUUUGUUCAACGAUUAAAGUCCUACGUGAUCUGAGUUCAGACCGGAGUAAUCCAGGUCAGUUUCUAUCUAUGAAGUGAUCUCUCCUAGUACGAAAGGACCGGAAAGAAGAGGCCCCUGCUCCCCGCACGCCUCCCCCUCACCCGAUGCAGGCAACUAAAUCAGGCAAGAGGACACGACCCCCAAGCCCUAGAGCUGGGCGAA